rnacentral:rRNA from 1 species
AUAACGGUUGGAAACGACAGCUAAUACAGGAUGAGCAUCCCGAAGGCAUCUUUGGGAUGGAAAAGGGGCCAAGGCCCCGCAUACGGAUGAGCCUGCGGUGCAUUAGCUGGUUGGUGAGGUAACGGCUCACCAAGGCGAUGAUGCAUAGCCGACCUGAGGGGGUGACCGGCCACAUUGGGACUGAGACACGGCCCAAACUCCUACGGGAGGCAGCAGUAGGGAAUUUUCGUCAAUGGGGGGAACCCUGAACGAGCAAUGCCGCGUGAGCGAAGAAGGUCUUCGGAUCGUAAAGCUCUGUUGUAAGAGAAAAACGAGCGCCAUAGGGAAUGAUGGAGCAGUGAUGGUAUCUUACCAGAAAGCCACGGCUAACUACGUGCCAGCAGCCGCGGUAAUACGUAGGUGGCGAGCGUUAUCCGGAAUCAUUGGGCGUAAAGGGUGCGUAGGUGGCACGAUAAGUCUGUAGUAAAAGGCAGCGGCUCAACCGCUGUUGGCUAUGGAAACUGUCGAGCUGGAGUGCAGAAGAGGGCGAUGGAAUUCCAUGUGUAGCGGUAAAAUGCGUAGAUAUAUGGAGGAACACCAGUGGCGAAGGCGGCCGCCUGGUCUGCAACUGACACUGAAGCACGAAAGCGUGGGGAGCAAAUAGGAUUAGAUACCCUAGUAGUCCACGCCGUAAAA